rnacentral:rRNA from 1 species
GACGAACGCUGGCGGCGUGCUUAACACAUGCAAGUCGAACGGAAAGGCCCUGCUUUUGUGGGGUGCUCGAGUGGCGAACGGGUGAGUAACACGUGAGUAACCUGCCCUUGACUUUGGGAUAACUUCAGGAAACUGGGGCUAAUACCGGAUAGGAGCUCCUGCUGCAUGGUGGGGGUGGGAAAGUUUCGGCGGUUGGGGAUGGUCGCGCGGCUUAUCAGCUUGUUGGUGGGGUAGUGGCUUACCAAGGCUUUGACGGGUAGCCGGCCUGAGAGGGUGCCCGGCCACAUUGGGACUGAGAUACGGCCCAGACUCCUACGGGGGAGAGCAGUGGGGAAUAGUGCACAAUGGGCGGGAGCCUGAUGCAGCAACGCCGCGUGCGGGAUGACGGCCUUCGGGUUGUAAACCGCUUUCGCCUGUGACGAAGCGUGAGUGACGGUAAUGGGUGAAGAAGCACCGGCUAACUACGUG